CGUGGCUGCAACUUUGCAUGCAGAUGUCAUCCAUAUUAACUUUCAAUGCCAGUUUCUGCGCUUACCAUUGUGACCACGGGUAACGGGGAAUCAGGGUUCCAUUCCGUACAGGGACCCUGAGUAACAUCUACCACAUGCAAGGAAGGCAGCAGGCGUGCAAAUGACCCACUCCCGAUGUGGGAAAGUAGUGACG